GCAAGUGGCCAGCUCCGCCAAACAGCUCCACACGAGGCUUCACUGCAAGCUUCAGGAUCUGGCCUCUUGGUCUCCCAAUGAC
rnacentral:RNase_MRP_RNA from 1 species